rnacentral:rRNA from 1 species
AUUGAACGCUGGCGGCAGGCCUAACACAUGCAAGUCGAGCGGCAGCGGGAAAGUAGCUUGCUACUUUUGCCGGCGAGCGGCGGACGGGUGAGUAAUGCCUGGGAAAUUGCCCAGUCGAGGGGGAUAACAGUUGGAAACGACUGCUAAUACCGCAUACGCCCUACGGGGGAAAGCAGGGGACCUUCGGGCCUUGCGCGAUUGGAUAUGCCCAGGUGGGAUUAGCUAGUUGGUGAGGUAAUGGCUCACCAAGGCGACGAUCCCUAGCUGGUCUGAGAGGAUGAUCAGCCACACUGGAACGGAGACACGGUCCGGACUCCUACGGGAGGCAGCAGUGGGGAAUAUUGCACAAUGGGGGAAACCCUGAUGCAGCCAUGCCGCGUGUGUGAAGAAGGCCUUCGGGUUGUAAAGCACUUUCAGCGAGGAGGAAAGGUUGAUGCCUAAUACGUAUCAACUGUGACGUUACUCGCAGAAGAAGCACCGGCUAACUCCGUGCCAGCCGCCGCCGUAA